rnacentral:rRNA from 1 species
GACGAACGCUGGCGGCGUGCUUAACACAUGCAAGUCGAACGGAAAGGCCCUGCUUUUGUGGGGUGCUCGAGUGGCGAACGGGUGAGUAACACGUGAGUAACCUGCCCUUGACUUUGGGAUAACUUCAGGAAACUGGGGCUAAUACCGGAUAGGGGCUCCUGCUGCAUGGUGGGGGUUGGAAAGUUUCGGCGGUUGGGGAUGGACUCGCGGCUUAUCAGCUUGUUGGUGGGGUAGUGGCUUACCAAGGCUUUGACGGGUAGCCGGCCUGAGAGGGUGACCGGCCACAUUGGGACUGAGAUACGGCCCAGACUCCUACGGGAGGCAGCAGUGGGGAAUAUUGCACAAUGGGCGGAAGCCUGGUGCAGCAACGCCGCGUGCGGGAUGACGGCCUUCGGGUUGUAAACCGCUUUCGCCUGUGACGAAGCGUGAGUGACGGUAAUGGGUAAAGAAGCACCGGCUAACUACGUG